CAGCCGUAAACUAUGCGCGUUAGGUGUAUCGGUGACCACGAGUUACCGAGGUGCCGAAGGGAAACCGUGAAACGUGCCGCCUGGGAAGUACGGUCGCAAGGCUGAAACUUAAAGGAAUUGGCGGGGGGAGCACCACAACAGGUGGAGCCUGCGGUUUAAUUGGACUCAACGCCGGGAAGCUCACCGGAUAGGACAGCAGAAUGAUUGCCGGGCUGAAGACCCUGCAUGACUAGCUGAGAGGAGGUGCAUGGCGUAGACGUCU
rnacentral:rRNA from 1 species